rnacentral:lncRNA from 1 species
GUUUAAAGGAGAAUUUAUGAUAUAGCCACAUUUUUAACAUUAACUUUAGAUGUCUCGAAGUAUCAUAAUAAAAACAGGUCUGUAGACAGCGAUUUGAGAAAUAGCUCUACUUAUAGUCUAGAUUGAAUACUUAAGCAAACAUUAAUUUUACUCAUCUCAAAAUGGAUCUUAUACUUUAGAUUGAGGGACUCUUGCAGCUUUGCCAGAUAAAAGAUGAAAUUUAAAGAUGUUUUAUGAUGUAAAGUAUCUUCAGUAGCAAAACAGUUCAGCAUCACCUAAAUGCUGAAUGGUUUGAAACGCACGUCUGGCCUAUUAAAUUUUUAGCCUGGUACUUUUGAUAACUAUUGAUGCACUAUUUGUCCAAUUAACAAUUAAUAUAGACGGGUCCAAACAAAUUUCUUUUGACAAUCAAACAUUUAAAACUAUCAAUCCAAAACUAAAUCAAACAUUAUAG